CUAUCUCUUUAACUAGACAGUGGGCUUUCUGAGAGCAGGGACCUUGGCUGUCUUGCUCACUCUCAUAUCCUCAGCACAAAGGACACUUCCUGGCAGGCAGAAGGCACUCAGUAAGUGCUCAAGUGCCAAAUGAAGACACGAAUGAACAGCAUCCACAGAGUUGCUUCUACUUCAAUUUCUGGUCCUUUCCUAAGGCUGAGUUGAAGGCUGCAUCGUCAGAAGCUUGCCUCUAGGAUGCCUUGUUGUCGGAGCAGCUUCAGUGGGUCACAUGGAGGGGCCCUAGUUGUCUCACUGAAUGGUUGCACCUGAUCAGAAAAUGGUUGUCCGCCCCACCCAUGGGGUUUCUACAUCAGGAGCAUGACAGGUGAAUGUGAUUUGCCUUAGGACUGGUGGUGGGGGGACAACGAACGAUGAGAUAUGCACCACCUUGGUCUUUCCUUCCCUCACACUUGGGGGCAGAAACG
rnacentral:lncRNA from 1 species